AGCAGUGGUAUCGAAGCAGAGCAAAUACGAGGGGAAGAAGUAGAGCAACUGUUAGUCCCACGGAAACACAUAAGGGCAGUACUAGAGUUAGCUCACAGUCAUCUAUUUGGGGGACAUCUAGGGGUAGACAAGACACUGGAUAGAAUCCUAAGAAGGUUUUAUUGGCCAGGGAUACGCGCAGAAGUCCAGCGUUAUUGUGCCUCCUGCCCUGAAUGCCAGUUGCAUAGCCCCCAACCUCACUUGCGGGCC